rnacentral:rRNA from 1 species
CGGAGGAAAAGAAACUAACUAGGAUUCCCUCAGUAGCGGCGAGCGAAGCGGGAAAAGCCCAAGAUGAAAAGCCUGCGUGCAGGCGUUGUAUUUUGAGCGUCCUUUGGAGUGUCAGUGUGGGUAAGUCGCAUGGAAAUGCGUGCCGUGGAGGGUGAGAGUCCCGUCCGUCCCACACAGGACACGCCGUACGAGGGCGUUUCAGGCGAGUCGGGUAGCUUGGGAAUGCUGCUCUAAUUGGUGGUAAAUCUCAUCAAAGGCUAAAUAUGGGCUGGAGACCGAUAGCGAACAAGUACCGUGAGGGAAAGAUCAAAAGCACUUUGAAAAGAGGGUGAAAAGAACCUGAAACCGUCAUGGGGGAAGCGGAUUGCGUUGGAUUGAUGGGCGCUGUGUGUGUUCAGCCCUUUUUGGGUGCAAUGGCAUCAGUGCUUAUCCGCCGUGGGUUUUCGGGGGUUGAUAUUGAACCCCUGGAGGCUGAGGGAUCCCCUCUUGUAGGGUUGAGGACGGCGGAGCGACGACGCGAUACGACCCGUCUUGAAACACGGACCAAGGAGUCUAGCGCGGAUGCGAGUCAAAGGGUGUGAAAGCCUGUGGGCGCAGUGAAAGCGACUUGUUGCAAAACGAGCAGUUUGAGGCGGCAUAAGAUCGUUGAUCUUAAGACUGACCUAGAGCAUUUGCGCUGGGACCCGAAAGAUGGUGAACUAUGCCGGAGUAGGGCAAAGCCAGAGGAAACUCUGGUGGAGGCUCGUAGCGGUGCUGACGUGCAAAUCGCUCGUCAAACUUGGGUAUAGGGGCGAAAGACUAAUCGAACCAUCUAGUAGCUGGUUCCCUCCGAAGUUUCUCUCAGGAUAGCGGGCCGACAAAGAGUUGUUCUGUGCGGUAAAGCGAAUGAUUAGCGUAUUUGGGGACAUCUAGUCUUCGGGCGAUUCUCAAACUUUAAAUGCGCAGGGGUGUCGCUGCUUGGUUGAGCGGCACCGGUAAAAACGUCGGCCCUGUGGGCCACUUUUGGUAAGCAGAACUGGCGAUACGGGAUGAACCGUAAGUAUGGUUAAGGCGCCAAACUACUCGCUUAUAGAUCCCACAAAAGGUGUUGAUUCAUCGAGACAGCAGGACGGUGGCCAUGGAAGUCGGAAUCCGCCAAGGAGUGUGUAACAACUCACCUGCCGAAUGAAUUAGCCCUGAAAAUGGAUGGCGCUUAAGCGGGUGGCCGACACCAUGCCGUCUGAGCAAGUUUCAGUUUCAGAUGAGUAGGAGGGCGUGGGGGCCGUGUCGAAGCAUGCGUGCAAACGCGUGUGGAACGGCCUCUAGUGCAGAUCUUGGUGGUAGUAGCAAGUAUUCAAGCGAGAUCCUUGAAGGGCGAAGCGGGGAAGGGUUCCACGCGAACAUUGAUUGGGCGUGGGUGAGUCGUUCCUAAGCCGAGUGGCGAUUGCUAAGUACCGGCGAAAGGGAAGCGGGUUGAAAUUCCCGCACACGGAUGUGGAAGCGGUGACGCGACUGAUGGGGCGAAGACGCUGGCGACGGCGCUGGGCAGAGUUGUCUUUUCUGUUUGACCAGGUUUGUGUGCGCUGUGUGGAAUCCGCUUGUCGGGAGAAACACGCGUGUACGGGCAGAGCGCCGGGGCUUUUCCGGCGUCCAGCUCGCCGUCGACGGCCCUUGAAAAUUUGCCUGCUGAAAUUGAAAUCCACGCCGUGGCGUACCGAUCACCGCAUCAGGUCCCCAAGGUGAACAGCCUCUGCUCAGUAUGAAUAAUGCAGGUAAGGGAAGUCGGCAAAUUAGACCCGUAACUUUGGGAAAAGGGUUGGCUCUAGUGCUGCGUGGGAGUGGUUGCCGGGUGUUUGGGCGCUUUUGCCUCUGACGGCUUUCGGCGCGGGACCCGCAAGGGACCUGUUCUUGGCUGUUGAGUGUGAGAGUGCCUCGCCCGGCGACGCCCACAGCAUGCAGCAGACUAGAACUGCAACGGGCAAAGGGAAUCCGACUGUUUAAUUAAAACAAAGCAUUGCGAGGGCCGUGGCCGGUGAUGACGCAAU